CCACCUCCUCCUCCUGCUCCUCCCCCCCACCCCCACCCCCUUCUCAGCUGCGGCUAAAACCUGGAGUCUUGGGGAAAAAGGAAAAAAAAAAAAAAAAAAACUCAGCUGUGGAGCUGUCAAACCGGGCAUGCUCAGUA
rnacentral:sRNA from 1 species